UCUACGGAUUACUCAGGGUAACUAAUCCCGCCUCCCCCCUCCGAUUAUUUCACAAUCCAGAUGUUGAUGAAAUUAUGUGCUCUUUUCUGCCCUUCGCACGAAGCUCGAAAUUUUAAUUCAAAUAAACCCUACCCCUCUUCCUCGGUUAUUCUUCCUUCAACGUGAAUCUGAAAAGCUCCAUCGUUAAAAAUCCAAUGCUUACUUCGACUGAAAUUCGACUCAAACGUCUCGCGCUCACUGCACAUUCUCACCCAUUGCCUGAACGCCUCCGACGCCGGCGACGCCCCUGCCCCCCGGCCUGCUGCCGUGCUGCUCUGUUCAGACGACAGACGCAGUCACGCCACCACCACCGCCGCAGCCCUCGUCAAGUGCUUCGUCGCUUGUUUGGCCGAAGACAGACAAAGGAACAAAGACCAGUGAGGUGAGACAGCACAGGUCAGAUUAUCGUCUUAUACAAGUUCCAUAAUUUUUGUUAUUUCUACAGCAUAUGUUGGCUUAUUAAUAUGUUAGAUGAUGACAUAUCUUUCGGCUGGUGUA